rnacentral:rRNA from 1 species
AUUGAACGCUGGCGGCAUGCCUUACACAUGCAAGUCGAACGGCAGCACGGGGGCAACCCUGGUGGCGAGUGGCGAACGGGUGAGUAACACAUCGGAACGUACCCAGUUGUGGGGGAUAACCAGUCGAAAGACUGGCUAAUACCGCAUGAUCUGGCGACAGCAAAGCGGGGGAUCGCAAGACCUCGCGCGAUUGGAGCGGCCGAUGUCCGAUUAGCUAGUUGGGGGGUAAAGGCCACCAAGGCUUUGAUCGGUAGCUGGUCUGAGAGGAUGAUCAGCCACACUGGGACUGAGACACGGCCCAGACUCCUACGGGAGGCAGCAGUGGGGAAUUUUGGACAAUGGGGGCAACCCUGAUCCAGCCAUGCCGCGUGAGUGAAGAAGGCCUGGUU